UGUUAAGUGAGAUGAAUUAUAACUUUUCAUCUGUGGAACUGUCAAAACAUUUCAAUUGUCCAUACAGUGCUGUCAAGAAAGUAGAAGAAAUGGUACUCUCACGUGUGACUGUGUUAACAUAGGGGAUUAUUUGUCAAUAUCUCCUAUAAUUUAAAAUGUGCAUACGUUUUGAACUUUUGAAAUGUCACUUUUAGGAAGUUAUCUUAUACAUAUAUUACAAAAGUUUGCCAUGAUGAUAAUAUAAGAUGUAAAGUCAUAUUUAGUUAAGCACUGCUUACUUCUAGGAAAAUAAUAAACAAAUAAAGCGGGAACCGAUAGCCGCCUCUAUCAGAAUAUCUCCCAUAAAGAGCAGCCCCUAGUGGCAGUCUUUGGUAAUACAGGCACAGUAUAUAUAGGAGUCAAGCUCCUAGGUGCCCCUGAUCAUUCCUCUUGCUGACUUACAUUCAAACAUAGUGUCAUCAGUCACAAGUCCUUCUUCAAGAGCAGAUUUUAGCUUGUUCACAGCAUUCUUGUCAGCAUAAGACUGAGACGCUGCAGUCCCAGCGAGCAGACCGCAAAAGAGAACAAGUUUCCAAAGCUGAAACAUCUUGUCCUGACACCGAGACUGUCAUGGGAGGAACAGGAGUGAGAAUUACCCAUAGGGAAACGGGAUCUUUAAUGAACACCUAUCACUUACACUCAACAGUGCUUGAAAGUAGAUGUGGCUGUCUUUCACUUACACUCAACAGUGCUUGAAAGUAGAUAUGGCUGUCUUUCUUACAGACGGGCAGCCCAGGUCAGGAAGCUGGAGCAACUUGUACAAAGAUACACAGCCACUGAGUAGAGGAGAUACUAUUUGGAAAGUCAUGCUUGACUCCAGGUCGAUGCUCUUUACACAGAGGUCAUUUGCAUAUUCUGGCUUCUCUGCCUGGAACAUUUCCCUCUUCUUUGCAUUUUUACAUAAAUCAUUUCUUACUGAGUCUCCAGCUUCAAUAAGACAUCAUAUCCUCUAUAAAGCCCUCUCUAGGCCCCUUCCCAGAGUCUAGGUCAGGGGUCCCACUCUACUAUCUUGUUGCCUUCAUUCUCUGAUCAGAAUCCUUGGUACAAUUAGUGAUGACUUGCCUCCUUUCUCACCAGGCUGUGAACUCCUUAGAUAGGGACUGUAACUUUGUGAAUUCCCAACUGAGAGGAAAAAAACCUGCACCUAAUCCAGUACAACCAAAUAAAUGUUUGCAGAAUAAAGGUAUGAACAAAUAAAUAGGCACCACAUCAUGACCCCACAUUGCUCACCAGUUUGAGACUUCUCCUAAUAUAAUUGAUUUCUUAAUUUGCUAUAUUGACAAUAUUAGCUAAUUCAUGUGGCCCUAUCCCUCUGCCUCUUGGCCCCAGAGCUUUCUGAAGAUCUCCAUGUGGGGUGACAUUAAAGGGGAAGCCCAGCAUUCACAGGGUUUGGAGGAAAAUACUUACAAAAUCCUUGCUCCACUGCGCAGUCUCCUGGGAUUCUGCUGGGUGGUGAUGGCCCUUAUAUUGUGGUGAUGGGUGGGAGGCUGCCCCUGGCAACAGGCCCUGGGUCCAGGGCCAUCCAAGGAGACUCCGAAGAAAAUAAUCCGUGUCUAGAGUGAACAGAGAGAGACUUCCAAUGCAAAGGUCACCCAGGAUGCUUGAAUUGAAAUGGGUCGAUAUGGAGAGGACUCUGUGCCAAGACUAAGAGUAGGUUCUCACAGAAACUCCAGCUGCCAAGAUAGUGGCCACUGUAGGUGGGGUUUGGGAUAAAGACUGAGAAUGGAUGAGUUGGAGAAUGUUGUGAUAGGAGGACCCAUAGUCAUCAUCCAGCCUAAUUUUGUCAUCAUUUGGAAACUGAGUUCAAGAGAAGGAGAGCAACCAGCUUGAGGUCAUCCAGUAAGACAUGGACAGGGAUGUGCUAGAAUUAUGCCCCAUGGAGUCAGGGUCAGGGACUAGUGAGGUCAGUUUUUCCAACUCUUCUCUGAUUUUUGAGUGCUCUCCACCACAUCCUUCACAGUGGAGCCAGCCUCAGGGCAGAUGUUUGUAAUGAUGCAUUGCUCAGUACCAUCCUCUGAAGUCUGCCUACUCAUUUGAUUGGCAGAGUCCCCCAGAGACAACAAUAUCUGCCUGCAAAAUACCUUCUUACAUGCGGUCUCCCUCUGCACACUUGCCCCCAAUCCCUCGACUCUCAAUGCACCAGCCAGAGGGUCAUUCAGUGUAAAACCGAAGUCCCCAUCAGGGUCCCUGUGUCAUCUGCUCACUGCCGCUCCAAACCAUCUCCCUCUCCCUCCAUGGCCCCUACUGUCUUCCUUCUGUUCUAGAAAGAUUCAAGCCUCUUUGCUGCCUCGGGACUCUGCACAGACCACUCCGUCUUCCCAGAACUCUUCUCCCUAGCUGUCACUGGCUCUCGACAUCACCUCACGAAUUCUGUGACUGUCCACCUGGUGGUCCCUCCCUUUCCCCCUGACUCAUCUUUGGGUUGGCCCCUUUUCACAGCAAAUUAUCAUCAUUUGACUUUUUCCUCUUGUUCUCUGCCCUCAGCAACUUGUUACCAUCCUUUGUUCUGUGGCUUUCCUCUCACAUGGGUCCCCCAAACCUUACCUGGCUAUAGAAUUCUCCAAGCCUCUCUGGAGCAUCCUCUAAAGCCAUCCACUCCCUGGGAAGACGGGAAGGGUCCCAUCACCAGAAAUGCUCAGGAACUUGACCAGAUGGCUGCUAAGAAUCUGUGUGACUUGAUGUAACUGUGAGCCAUGGUUCUAAACUUCCUUAGUCUCUACUAAACCAUUGUUACCCAUUUGUACGACUCUUCUUCCCAGAUUUUUUUUCUCCCUGAGCUAUGGUUCUGAGCUAUGGAACAAGGAGCUGUGGUUCCCCCAGGCUUCCUGCCUCUUUCCUUUUCUCACCCUCCCUGCCUCCCAAGACCUCACCUCCAUCUGGCCAUGGCCUCCUGGAGUCACAGUAGCUGGUGCUAUUUCUCAUCAUGGACCACACCCACGACAAAGCCAGCUUCUUGCACUGAUAUCAGCCUCCUCUCAUGGCUGAGCUUUGAGGUGAAAUGAUCUUCAUGCUUGAUCCCUGUUGGUGAGUCUGGGGCUGGCACACAAGUGCCUACUUUCUAAGGAGCCAUGUUCUCAGGGUGACUCAUUGCUUUAGACAUUGCUGGCUCUAAUUCACAUGAAGACAGAACUUCACCACAUGAUCAAUGUUCCCCAUCUGCUAAAGCAUUUGGGGGACUCCCUAGUCUAGUACACACUAAACUAAAUCUACCAAAGUGGAGAGAAACCAUGUCUUCCUUCUUUCUGAGGUCCUCUGUCCUCUGAUCCCUACAGUGUGUCUGGAACUCUUGAAGAAGCAUAUUCAUACUUAUAUGAAUUCAUGAACAUUCAACGUGCAUGCAUACAUACCUGUGAGAACAAGACAGCAUCACUAGAUUCAAGAAGAAAACACCUACAAUUAUCUCCUAUUUCAAGGGCACUUUUACAGAAUCAUGGGGACCAUGUUACCAGAGUUCCGGAGAAAAAGGUCACUAUCACAAAAGGGGCUAUGGGUCUCCACAGAUUGCCUGGGUUUGUUUUUGUCCUUAGAGAUACAGUUAAGAUACAAUUCUCUGACAGAGUUCACUAGAAAAUGAAGCCAUACAAAGGGAAUGAGAGAAUAUAUCCUUGCAGUGCCCGGAUCCAGCUGUACCCGAUGUCCUCUGUGCCCUAGACUUUCCAGUGCAAAUACAUUUCUCCCUCCCUAUCUGUUUUGUUGAAGGCAGUGUGAAUUGGGUUCUGCUGUUCAAACCCACAGUAAGUCCUGACUCAGCACGCUUGUACACUCACAUGUGCUUCCUCCCUUCUGAUGACUACUAGAGGGCCGCACGACCACACUGGAAGCAUAACAGACUCCAAAGCCUCAGGAGAUCUUAGAAUUCAUCAGUUUAACCUCUUUGAUGAAAAGUCUUGGGAGCUGUGGCCCAGAGAAGGAGAAAGACUCAUCCAAGACUACAUCCAAGGGUUCAAAGCGAUUUGAACCCCACUUCCUUUCCUCUUUCAUUUCAUCUCUUUUGGUUUUGAUGACAUUUUCUACUUUGGGCAAUAGUCUUAGGGGAAAAAAAUAUUAAGACUAACCAGGAUCACCUACUAAAUUUCUGUAAAUUAUAGAUGCCUGAGCCCCUCCCUAGGUACUUAGGCUCAGGGGCUCCAGAGUGGCUGACCAGAAAUGGAAGUAACUGGACUAGAUGGCUCAAAGGUACUUUCUACCUUGAGUUCUAUGAGCUGUGACCCCCAUGCCAUUCUCUGGAAUCUCACCUCUGCCUAGACAUGACCCUCACAACCCAAUAUGCUUAUGUGGCUUCAUCUUCUUUCCUCUUCUCAGCCACCACCAGAGGGUGUUACUGCCCCCAUUUCCCAGCUGAGGAACAUGAGUUUCAGGAGGGCAGGAUGACUUGUUCAAGGUGACACAGAUGGGAAGGGGCAGAGCUGGAUAGUGACCCAGUUCUACUUCCUCUCCCAUCGAGGUCGGCUGUUCCAGCUUCCAUCCUCUGGGGGCAGCAGCGAGUUGCCUUCUUUGGCCGCAGUGUCCAGACCCAGGAAUGCCACAGGUGAAUGGCUGACCCUGGGCUCAGCCCCACAGGUCCGCUUUCAUCAUUGGUGUUCACGACAACCCCAUGAGGAGACUUGAAGCCCCUUUUUCCAGCUGAGGAAACUGAGGCUCAGGGAAAAGAGGUGACUCACACAGGUCUCACAUGGACAGGGCCCAGCAUUUGAGUCACCAAUGAAAGAGCUUUCACCCAGAUCUCAUUGAGGCCAACUGGUUUGGCAGGAGCGUCUUUGAGCUUGAAUACUCUGUUCAUUGCUCGAACUCUGCUGUUUGAUUCCGUUGUAACGCUUGGUGCAUUGGGCCUGUGUUCAAGCUGGAACACCCGGUCCAGGAAGCAGAUGGGUGCCCGCUGACAUCAGACUGGGGGCACCGGCAGAGAUCUCUGGGUCAUGCAGGGUUUUCUCCUCCNNNNNNNNNNNNNNNNNNNNNNNNNNNNNNNNNNNNNNNNNNNNNNNNNNNNNNNNNNNNNNNNNNNNNNNNNNNNNNNNNNNNNNNNNNNNNNNNNNNNGGUUGAUUAUAGGCACUCGAUGAAGCUUUCUGGUAAGAAGCCCUCGCAGGCAGUUCCUGGACUUGGAAGGAAAGAUUGAUUAGUGAUGUCUGCCACAGGUUUAGGAGGGGAGAGUGGAGGCACUGUGUGUUUGCCACUGUUGGUCCAGGUCAUAUCCAAGAGGCCCUUUAUCCAGCGAUGGGCACACCAACACCACACGUUCAUGGAGGGUGGGACUCUGGGACCUGCCUGAACUGGGCAGAUGAGGAGACCCCUAUCUAGGUUGCAGUCUUGGCUCUGUUAGUAACCUGCUUUGUGACUCUGAGUAAGAUGUUUGUUUUCUCUCAAGGCCUCUGUUUCCUCUAACUGCAAAAUGACCAGAGGUUUUCUGCUAGACGACUGACCCCUCAGGGCUUUGAGAGGUGUUCAGGAACACCUGGGGCUACUUGCUACAUUCCCACCAGCUGGGGCACCCCAUGCUCUUGCUUUGAGCAUGAAUUUUACCGGCUCCUUGGGCACAGUGAUUACAACCCAUUCUCUGAAACCAUAAGAGUCAAGAACACUGUCUUCAUGCCCAGGGCCUGACAUAGUGUAGACACUCAAAUAUUUAUUAUAGCACACAGAAGCAUUUUUCUUUAAUGCUGAUUAAUUAAAAUGUACACUUUUAGAAACCAUGCAUUUCAUUAUAAUAAUACAGAAGCUGUGGCUAGAGUCAGCCUUGGGUGUGAAUCCCAGAUUUCUCUCUUGUUAGCUGUGUGACAGCAGGCAAGUGAC
ensembl:lincRNA